rnacentral:rRNA from 1 species
GACGAACGCUGGCGGCGUGCUUAACACAUGCAAGUCGAACGGUAAGGCCCUUCGGGGUACACGAGUGGCGAACGGGUGAGUAACACGUGGGUAACCUGCCUCAUAGAGGGGAAUAGCCUCCCGAAAGGGAGAUUAAUACCGCAUAACAUCGUUGAAGGGCAUCCUUCGAUGAUCAAAGGAGUAAUCCGCUAUGAGAUGGGCCCGCGGCGCAUUAGCUAGUUGGUGAGGUAACUGCUCACCAAGGCGACGAUGCGUAGCCGACCUGAGAGGGUGAUCGGCCAGAUAGGUACUGAGACACGGCCCGGACUCCUACGGGAGGCAGCGGUGGGGAAGAUUGCUCAAUGGGGGAAACCCUGAUGCAGCAACGCCGCGUGAGUGAUGACGGCAUUCGGGUUGUAAAGCUCUGUCUUUGGGGACUAUAAUGAGGGUACCCAAGGAGGAAGUCACGGCUAACUACGUGCCAGCCGCCGCCGUAA